rnacentral:rRNA from 1 species
UGCCAGCCGCCGCGGUAAUACGGAGGGGGCGAGCGUUGUUCGGAAUUACUGGGCGUAAAGGGCGCGUAGGCGGCCUUGUCAGUCAGGCGUGAAAGCCCCGGGCUCAACCUGGGAUGUGCGUUUGAUACUGCGAGGCUAGAGACCGGAAGAGGAUGGCGGAAUACCCAGUGUAGAGGUGAAAUUCGUAGAUAUUGGGUGGAACACCAGUGGCGAAGGCGGCCAUCUGGUCCGGGACUGACGCUGAGGCGCGAAAGCGUGGGGAGCAAACAGGAUUAGAUA